UACGGGGGAGCAAGCGUUGUUCGGAUUUACUGGGCGUAAAGGGCGCGUAGGCGGCCAGCACAAGUCAGUUGUGAAAUCUCCGGGCUUAACUCGGAAAGGUCAACUGAUACUGUGCGGCUAGAGUGCGGAAGGGGCAACUGGAAUUCUCGGUGUAGCGGUGAAAUGCGUAGAUAUCGAGAGGAACACCUGCGGCGAAGGCGGGUUGCUGGGCCGACACUGACGCUGAUGCGCGAAAGCCAGGGGAGCGAACGGG
rnacentral:rRNA from 1 species